AACCCUGUCUCGAAAAACAAAACAAACAAACAAAAACAAAACAAAACAAAACAAAAGAUGUGACACAUUUGUUCUCCUUGAUGUUAAGAAGGUCCAGGUCUUCAAUGAGGAAACUUGCCUAUGGAUAAAGGAGAAGCUGGAGGCCACGCCUCCCAGGUAGCCCCCAGGAAGCGGGAGGGGAGGAUGACCCUUUAACCUAUGAGGUAACAAAACAAACAAAGCUAUCAGAGGUGGGAAUGGCGGUCGUUUUUUUGCCUAAUUUUAGAAGCAGAGAGUGUGUUGGAGCAUGAAUGAGCAACCUGGAGAUACUGAGUGUGCCGUGGUGAGACCAGAAGUACAGAGUAUGCAAGGAUGUACUUCCUCAUAGGCUGGACUCCUCUCAGGGUCUCAGCUGGUCUAGCUAGCUGUCUGAGAAUAAGGUCGCAGGCCUGGUAGCAAAAGCAGGGUGAAUAGUAACUUUUCUAACUCAACUACCCAGGAAACAACUAGGCGGGAAAGCAGAGACGCUCAGGUUGGGGCCUCUCCUGAGAAGCUUUGCUUAGCUUUGCAAUCAGUGGCCUGAAGAGCUAGCAGUCCUCAGGCUGCCUCAGAUGGACAGCAGGUACUUGCCUAAGCAUUGUACUGGGCCUUCCUGCCCAACAAUGGCCACUGCCACUGACCAGGACACAUUUCAGUUUGCGUUUAUUCUCAUCUAUUGGGGUGCUCUGGGGACCUGUGACACUGAGUCUGUUAGGGUAACUUAGUUCUAUUUCAGGGACGGAGGGUUCUGACUUUUGUGUAUUUUUUCAUAUUGAGAGCAAGGGUUUUUGUUUUUUUGUUUUUUGUUUUUUAUUUCCAGAGGUAGAAUCAUGCUAAAUCAGCUUUGGGAAACUGUCAUGUAACUAAAACAUCACUUUGUUAGUUGUUCCAUGAUUUUUUUGUUAUAAUUGUGUUAGUUUGACUCAAGCAUCAGCCUCAUAUGAGGUAAAACUAAAAAAUGGAGAGAGUCAGACCUACGUUUGUUAAUUUGUAUUCUGGUCAUUUCACAGGGAAAGCAACGUGUAUAAUUUAUGACAAAAGUCAACGGGAAACAAACAAAGGGAACCGAGGCAUAAACAGGUAAUUCCAAUCAGGACUCAGUACACCGAGGGUGUAGCCUAAAACACAGCGGCAGCAAACUCAACCCAGUAGCACCAGCUUUCGCUUGUGUGUGAGUUCCUGUCCCUACAGCCAGGAGCCCAAUACAUGCCCCUUCUUGCUCAGUGUUUUAAUGAGACUGCUCAGCACACCAAGUGUGUACAUCUACAUAAUUUGGAAAGUGGCGCUGAGGAGAGAUAAGAGUAUAUAGCCCGUGACACGUGCAGGCCCUGGAGUGGAGCAGCUACUCUCCGUUCAGCAAGUAUUCUUGGCCACGAGACAUGGACCAGUGCUGGAGACUUACCAUGAGAGCACACAGAGUCCUCAUUCUGUGCCAGUUUCCAUUGCAGUCUGGAACGACAGAGAGCAAGCAGAUGAAUAUGUGUUUGACACACAUCUGAAGUCUUUUUUAGGAUUGUAGCUGACCUUGGGCAACCAAAACUUCAAGGAGUGGAAUAAUCGAGAAGGUGAUGGGACUUUCCUGUGUUCAAAAUAGAUUGUGAAGUCUUUGGAGGGUUUUGACUUAAGGAUGCCGCUGCCACAGCUUUAUUUGAAAAAGAAUCAUCCUGUGUUUGCCACUCUAGAGGCAGUGGGACCUGGGAGACUGGAGCCGACUAAACUCUUGUGCAGUAGCCAACUUUAUUCAGAGCAUCAGACAAUUUAUACUCUGACGGUUAAGAAGAGUCGCAUGAAUGAAGUGUACAGCCACCAGCUGCAUGUGGCAAGAACACGGUUUCUUCAUGGAGGAAUAUCAACAAAUAACAAUAGCCGACUGUAAUGAAUAAUCGAAAGUAAACUCACUCCUAUCGUCUACACCUGAGAGGAGCAUGAAGGCACAUCCCAUGAGCAAUUUCAUGCUUGUGAAGACACGGAGACCGCACACCUCUUGUCUUGGUUCCUUCCUUCCUUCCUUCCUUCCUUCCUUCCUUCCUUCCUUCCUUCCUUCCUUCCUUCCUCCCUCCCUCCCUCCCUCCCUCCCUCCCUCCCGGAACUCACUGUACCCAGCAAGUGAAAGCUUUCUCUCUUCUUAGCAGUGACCCUCCCUUUUCUCAGCCGUAGGUAACCCUGGCUCUGCUUUCCGUCUGUCUGUACUUGCCUGUUCUUGAUAAGGAAUUAAAGGAGAGUCGUACAGUAUUUGUUGCUUUGUACCUGACUCAUGUCAUGCAAUACAUUUUCAAGGCCCUUCAAUGCUAAUGCAGGGAUCAGCACCUCGUGUCUCACGGGGCCUGAGAGGGCGUGGUAGUUACACUUUUCUCUUUUGCUCAUCCAUUCUCUUGUUAGAAGAUAUCUAUCUGGGUAGCUCUCAUCUUUCAGUUAUUAUCAAUAAUGCUAUUUUGAAUAAUAAUAUUCAUAUUAUUCACAAAUAAUAUUCACAAUCAUGUAUUUAUUAUUUGUUAUGACUAAUAUUAAUAAUAUUCAGUAGGAUAUAUGUAUAUGUUUGAGACUCUGUUUUUAUUUUGGGGGGCAUGUACAUAGGAGUAGAUGGACUGAAUCACAUAGUAUUUCUAUAUUUAAGUACUUUGGGAACAGGAAAAUAAUUUUUUAUGGUGUUUACUUUUCUUUUAGAAAUUUAGGAGAUUCUAUAUCAUUGGGGUUACUUGUAAAGCAACCCCCCAACAUAGCCAUCUUCCUUGGAGAAGUGUUUGAUUUCAUUAUCAUUGUUACAUUUCUUUUCAAGUGUUUAUUAUUUCCAUGUCUUUGGAGGAGUGUCUCGUCAAGUUGAUUUCAUCUUUUAGCAGGGCGUUGGUUGUUGAGUGCUAAAAGUUAUCUUUAUAUUCUGGAAUCUUCUUGGAUUUGCAAGCAUCUUCCAUGGGAUGCCUUUUCAUGUUGCUGAAGGAAUCUGUGAAGAUGCGCUUAAGAAACUGUUUCCAAACCCAAGCACGGAUAUUCAUAUUCACUGUAUCUUCUUGUCCUAUACAAUACUUACCAAGUCUAUUAUUAUGCUUUUUACACUGAA